rnacentral:rRNA from 1 species
UACGUAGGGGGGCAAGCGUUGUCCGGAUUUAUUGGGCGUAAAGAGCGUGUAGGCGGCCAGACAGGUCCGUUGUGAAAACUCGAGGCUCAACCUCGAGAUGUCGAUGGAAACCGUCUGGCUAGAGUCCGGAAGAGGAGUGUGGAAUUCCUGGUGUAGCGGUGAAAUGCGCAGAUAUCAGGAAGAACACCUAUGGCGAAGGCAGCACUCUGGGACGGUACUGACGCUGAGACGCGAAAAGCGUGGGGGAGCGAACAGGAUUAGAACCCGUACGUC